rnacentral:rRNA from 1 species
CCGACGGUGAGAGACGAAAGCUGGGGGAGCAAACCGGAUUAGAUACCCGGGUAGUCCCAGCCGUAAACGAUGUGCGUUAGGUGUAUCGGUGACCACGAGUCACCGAGGUGCCGAAGAGAAAUCGUGAAGCGUACCGCCUGGGAAGUACGGUCGCAAGGCUGAAACUUAAAGGAAUUGGCGGGGGAGCACCACAACAGGUGGAGCCUGCGGUUUAAUCGGACUCAACGCCGGAAAACUCACCAGAUAA